UACGUAGGGGGCGAGCGUUGUCCGGAAUCAUUGGGCGUAAAGAGCGUGUAGGCGGCCCGAUAAGUCCGCUGUGAAAGUCCAGGGCUCAACCCUGGGAUGCCGGUGGAUACUGUCGGGCUCGAGUCCGGAAGAGGAGUGUGGAAUUCCUGGUGUAGCGGUGAAAUGCGCAGAUAUCAGGAGGAACACCAAUGGCGAAGGCAGCACUCUGGGACGUGACUGACGCUGAGAAGCGAAAGCAUGGGGAGCGAACAGG
rnacentral:rRNA from 1 species